ACUCAGUUGGUAGAGUACAAAGCUCUUAACCUUGUGGACAUGGGUUUGAGCCCUAU
rfam:Triticum aestivum genome assembly, contig: Triticum_aestivum_CS42_TGACv1_scaffold_404957_5BL